GCCGAAGUAGCUCAGCUGGUAGAGCAACUGAUUCGUAAUCAGUAGGUAGCGGGUUCGAAUCCCGCCUUCGGCACCA
rnacentral:tRNA from 1 species